rnacentral:rRNA from 1 species
CGGGUCUGGGAGGAUGAUCCGCCCCACUGCGACCGAGGCACGGGCAAGACUCCUACGGGAGGCAGCAGUGGGGAAUUUUGGACAAUGGGGGAAACCCUGAUCCAGCCAUGCCGCGUGUCUGAAGAAGGCCUUCGGGUUGUAAAGCACUUUUGUCUGGGAGGAAAUCCCUAGCGUUAAUAGCGUUGGGGGAUGACAGUACC